GUACGGGUUGCAGCAGUGAGGAAUAUUGCACAAUGGGGGGAACCCUGAUGCAGCAACGCCGCGUGGAGGAUGACGCAUUUCGGUGUGUAAACUCCUUUUAUAUGUCAAGAAAAUGACGGUAGCAUAUGAAUAAGCACCGGCUAACUCCGUGCGCAGCAGCCGCGGUGAAUACGGAGGGUGCAAGCGUUACUCGGAAUCACUGGGCGUAAAGGACGCGUAGGCGGGUUGGAAAGUCAGGUGUGAAAUCCUACAGCUUAACUGUAGAACUGCACUUGAAACUUCUAAUCUAGAGUAUGGAGGGGAGAUGUAAUUAGUGGUGUAGGGGUAAAAUCCGUAGAUAUCACUAGGAAUACCUAAAGCGAAGGCGAUCUCCUGGAACAUUACUGACGCUAAGGCGUGAAAGCGUGGGGAGCAAACAGGAUUAGAUACCCGCGUAGUC
rnacentral:rRNA from 1 species